UCAUGGCUCAGGACGAACGCUGGCGGCGUGCUAAUACAUGCAAGUCGAGCGGACAGAUGGGAGCUUGCUCCUGAUGUUAGCGGCGGACGGGUGAGUAACACGUGGGUAACCUGCCUGUAAGACUGGGAUAACUCCGGGAAACCGGGGCUAAUACCGGAUGGUUGUUUGAACCGCAUGGUUCAAACAUAAAAGGUGGCUUCGGCUACCACUUACAGAUGGACCCGCGGCGCAUUAGCUAGUUGGUGAGGUAACGGCUCACCAAGGCAACGAUGCGUAGCCGACCUGAGAGGGUGAUCGGCCACACUGGGACUGAGACACGGCCCAGACUCCUACGGGAGGCAGCAGUAGGGAAUCUUCCGCAAUGGACGAAAGUCUGACGGAGCAACGCCGCGUGAGUGAUGAAGGUUUUCGGAUCGUAAAGCUCUGUUGUUAGGGAAGAACAAGUACCGUUCGAAUAGGGCGGUACCUUGACGGUACCUAACCAGAAAGCCACGGCUAACUACGUGCCAGCAGCCGCGGUAAUACGUAGGUGGCAAGCGUUGUCCGGAAUUAUUGGGCGUAAAGGGCUCGCAGGCGGUUUCUUAAGUCUGAUGUGAAAGCCCCCGGCUCAACCGGGGAGGGUCAUUGGAAACUGGGGAACUUGAGUGCAGAAGAGGAGAGUGGAAUUCCACGUGUAGCGGUGAAAUGCGUAGAGAUGUGGAGGAACACCAGUGGCGAAGGCGACUCUCUGGUCUGUAACUGACGCUGAGGAGCGAAAGCGUGGGGAGCGAACAGGAUUAGAUACCCUGGUAGUCCACGCCGUAAACGAUGAUUUCUAAGUGUUAGGGGGUUUCCGCCCCUUAGUGCUGCAGCUAACGCAUUAAGCA
rnacentral:rRNA from 1 species